rnacentral:rRNA from 1 species
CCUACGGGAGGCUGCAGUGGGGAAUAUUGGACAAUGGGCGAAGGCCUGAUCCAGCCAUGCCGCGUGUGUGAAGAAGGCCUUCGGGUUGUAAAGCACUUUCAGUGGGGAAGAAAGCCUUGGGGCUAAUACCCUCGAGGAAGGACAUCACCCACAGAAGAAGCACCGGCUAACUCCGUGCCAGCAGCCGCGGUAAUACGGAGGGUGCGAGCGUUAAUCGGAAUUACUGGGCGUAAAGCGCGCGUAGGCGGUCUGAUAAGCCGGUUGUGAAAGCCCCGGGCUCAACCUGGGAACGGCAUCCGGAACUGUCAGGCUAGAGUGCAGGAGAGGAAGGUAGAAUUCCCGGUGUAGCGGUGAAAUGCGUAGAGAUCGGGAGGAAUACCAGUGGCGAAGGCGGCCUUCUGGACUGACACUGACGCUGAGGUGCGAAAGCGUGGGUAGCAAACAGGAUUAGAUACCCGAGUAGUC